CACUGAAUAUGUGUGCGAAAUAUCUUGCUCCAACUGUUCGUAGUUUUUUAGAAAACAGUUUUUUUAGUUCCCACGCCCGGCCGUCAGACCGUCGGCAAACCCUGCGCACGGGCGCACCGACGUCACUGCUCUCGGUUUAUCUGUCUUUGGCUUGGCAUGGACUCUUGGCUUGGCCGCUUGGCUUCUUUCGUUUCGUCCUCUGUGCGUCGUACAUAAGCGAACAGCUGUUAUGUUAUUGCUAAGCCGGAAACAAAGCAUGUGAAUACUUUUUUUUUUGGCACGGCGUCGUUUGGAAAGUGCACUUCCUUGUUCUGACCUUGCCUUUUAUGGGCUGGAGCGAUAUGCCACGGCGAAGUUGUCGAAGAUGCGACGGUGCUACGUGCUACGCUGUUAGAACAAUUCAUCGGAGCAUUCAAGUGUUACCUUUUAUAAGCUGCCAAAAGACCAAGCAGUGCGAAGCUCUUGGCUGACAGUGGUGCCUGCUAAUUUCCACUGCAAGGAUUUCGUCAACGAAUGUUAUCAUAGGUUACGCGCGACUCCAGAGGCAAUUUGGAAUAUCGGCACGAAAUCGUCGGAUGAAAAUCUGAGGUGCCCGACGCACAACAUUUUGAACGUGCCACGGAGGAUCAAGGCAAAAAACGAGAGCAAAAAAGGUGCACGCUGAAGGCGGAAAUGAAGCAUGAUCUGGCUUGCAUCUGGUGCAUGAAGAAAUUGCUGGCACGUUAGUUGCAGUCUACCUCCACCAACAGGGUGGAAAACAAAGGUCGCCAUUCCGAUUAGCUGCUAUCUCCCAGUUCAAGCACUUUUGCUGUCUGGACACUGGUUCCUGUGGAUGGGCUGUUACAAGCUUCACUGUCUGAUAUAGAAGUGAUGAGCAUCCAUAAGGACACAUGGCAGAAAGGGAGUCUCUUUGAGAUGACAAACCCUCAUCACCUCAUGAGGAUACAAUGGUUGACGAAUGGUUCUCAAGUACAUCGAAACUUCAACAAAUAAUUCAUGAAAAAGCCAGUCAGUGCUAGCACCAGGAAUUGAACGUGGACCGUCCUGCUACCAGUCAGAGAUGUUACAUUUCAGGCGCUCAUUGACUUUUGGUGAAUUACUUGUUGAC